UAAUUGAAGAGUUUGAUCAUGGCUCAGAUUGAACGCUGGCGGCAGGCCUAACACAUGCAAGUCGGGCGGUAACAGGGAGAAGCUUGCUUCUCUGCUGACGAGCGGCGGACGGGUGAGUAAUGUAUGGGGAUCUGCCUGAUGGCGGGGGAUAACUACUGGAAACGGUAGCUAAUACCGCAUAAUGUCUUCGGACCAAAGCGGGGGACCUUCGGGCCUCGCGCCAUCAGAUGAACCCAUAUGGGAUUAGCUAGUAGGUGAGGUAACGGCUUACCUAGGCGACGAUCCCUAGCUGGUCUGAGAGGAUGAUCAGCCACACUGGGACUGAGACACGGCCCAGACUCCUACGGGAGGCAGCAGUGGGGAAUAUUGCACAAUGGGCGCAAGCCUGAUGCAGCCAUGCCGCGUGUAUGAAGAAGGCCUUCGGGUUGUAAAGUACUUUCAGUCGGGAGGAAGGUGU
rnacentral:rRNA from 1 species